rnacentral:rRNA from 1 species
UAUACCGUCGUUAUUAGAAUAUUUUAUAAGAAUGUUAAUUUUCAAGAUUUUUAAAAAGAAAAUAUAUCAGAUCAAGGUGUAGCUAAUGUUUAAGUUAAAAUGGGUUACAAUAAAAAUAUUUAAACGAAUUUAAAUUUGAAAUAUUUAUUGAAGGUGGAUUUGAUAGUAAAAUUAUAAAGAUAAAUAAUUUGAUUUUAGCUCUAAAAUAUGCACACAUCGCCCGUCACUCUUACUAUUAAGGUAAGAUAAGUCGUAACAUAGUAGAUGUACUGGAAAGUGUACCUAGAAUGCAAUUUAAAGCUUAUUUAGUAAAGUAUUUCAUUUACAUUGAAAAGAUUUUUGUGCAAAUCAAUAUAAAUUGAUUAUUUUUUAUUUAUUAAUUUUAUUGUUUUUUUAAAAAAAAUUAUUAAAAAUAAUUAUAAAUUGAUUUGUUUUAGUACUUUAUAAAGAAAAAAUAAUUUUAAUUAUAGC